rnacentral:lncRNA from 1 species
CCGUGCGGCCUCUGCCUGCGCUGGUUGGUUUUGUGGAGCUCCGUACACGUGCGGGGUGACUUGAAAAUAAGGCAUUUUUCACCUUCCUGAAGAGAAGAGAGUGACAGUGUGUAUGUGGAAUUGUCAGAGCAAAGACAUUUACGUUCUGGUGAGAGACUUAAGAAGUAAAUAUGCAUUUUAUUCAUUAUUCCCCUUACUCUAUCCUUUUCCCAUGCUGCAAUGGAAACUGGAAUUAGACUGGCAAGGUUACUGGUCUGUGAGUAUCCAAGCUGCCAACUGUCAUAGAUGGCAGUAGAGAACACAAGUACAAUCUUACUUGUUCUGGCCAAGUUUCAGGUCCCAGGCCUUAUACCACCUUAAGAGGGAAAACUUUAAAGGUAAGUAGGGAACUAUAUUAAGUGCUAUCUAUCCCUGUUGCCUCUCAUUAUAUUAUCACUUCUUGCUAGUGACAGUGGAUUUUAUUUUUUACAUUGAAAUGUUGGAUCAGGUCUCAAAUUUCAAUCAGGAGAACAAAUCCCAGAGGGAUGAAUUCUGCAGAACCAAAAGGGACACAAAAAGCUUGGUUAAGUGCCUAGGAAUUCACACAAAGGAAAACAACCGCUAAGAGCAACUCAUUAAGAACUUUAAAAGAGUGAAAAUGACUCCUGUGAAUCUUGUUGGUUUAAUUAGGGCUUCAUGAACAGCUCUACUUAAUGAAACUGUCAGUAUACUCUUGGAAAACAAUUUAAGUGAAUUAACAAAUUAACUGUAAUACUUAAAAUCUCUGCUUAGCAACAUUUUUUAACUGCUGUUUAGGAACAUUUAUAAUGAGCCAACUUGCUGGGCCAUAUAUUUAUCAAUUAAGUAGCCUGAGGCUUGGGUCAAAGAUUCCUAUUACUUUUUUGGCCUUCCUUAUCUUCCAGUAAAGGUCCUUUGGAGUAUAAGAAUGUUCUCAGCUUCUUGUUAAGGGUUACUUACUGCAUUAUGAGAAAGGGAUGACAAAAUGGACCUGGAAUGGAAUUUUAUUAUUUUUAGAAUAGUUGUAGGUAUAUGAAAAAGUUGAGAAUAUGGUACAAGGAAUUCUCAUGAAGCACAUAACCAUUUUCCCCUAAGAACUGACAUUUUAAGAUGCUGUGAUUGUCAUAAUUAAUGUGAUAGUAUUGGUAAAUACUAGUAUUGAGUAAAGUCAACAUUUUCAAGUUUCUUUGUUUUGUUUACAGUGCUGGGAAUUGAACUCAAGGCCUGAUGCAUGCUAGAUAAGCAUUCUACCACUUACCUGUACAUCUAGCCCUAAAUCUUCUGUUUCAAGGUAUUGG